ACUCAAAUGAAUUGACGGGGGCCCGCACAAGAGGCGGAGCAUGUGGCUUAAUUCGACGCAACGCGAAGAACCUUACCAAGGCUUGACAUCGCCGGGACAGCCCUAGAGAUGGGGUUUCCUUUUGGGUCCGGUGACAGGUGGUGCAUGGCUGUCGUCAGCUCGUGUCGUGAGAUGUUGGGUUAAGUCCCGCAACGAGCGCAACCCUUGUUCUGUGUUGCCAGCACGCUCUUUUUAGGGUGGUGGGGACUCACAGGAGACUGCCGGGGUCAACUCGGAGGAAGGUGGGGACGACGUCAAGUCAUCAUGCCCCUUAUGUCUUGGGCUGCACACGUGCUACAAUGGCCGGUACAGUGAGUUGCGAUGCCGUGAGGUGGAGCGAAUCUCAAAAAGCCGGUCUCAGUUCGGAUUGGGGUCUGCAACCCGACCCCAUGAAGUCGGAGUCUCUAGUAAUCGCAGAUCAGCAGUGCUGCGGUGAAUACGUUCCCGGGCCUUGUACACACCGCCCGU
rnacentral:rRNA from 1 species